AAGAAUGUAGUUUUAUGUUUAUGUGCACUGCUGGGUUGUUACUUGCAUAUUUUUUGCUCCCUUGUUUAUUCAAAUAUGUUAUGUUAUGGGUUGACACUAUUGUUUGUGACAUUUGUAAUGUAAUCUGUAUUAAUUUUUUGGGUGGACCUGAUUUUCUUGUGUGUACCUUCAUAUAUCUAAUACUAAAUCAAACUCUCCCUUUUCUCAAAUUUUUUUCUCUUGGAAGAUCAUAAUAAUGCCAUCAGAUUUUGGCAAAAAGUUUGCUCCAUAUGAUGCAUGAAAAGAUUAAAGACGUUGUGAGUGGCAGGACAAAUUUGUCUUGUACAUUUAACAUGAAGGUGCAAUCUUUUGGCCUUGGCAUAUAACUUCUUGUGUGAUGCUGUUGUGAGAGAAGUGUGUGCGUGUGUGUGUGCGUGUUAGAUAAGGCCUUGGCAGCAUAUUCUUGAUACAUUACACCAUAUUUUUUAUUACCUUUGGCAGUUUAAAACAAUUGUUGUUUAUAUAUUAUUUCCGAAAGAAAGAUAAUUAACAAAUUAACGGAAAAGAAGGAAACAUAACCUUGCUGAAAAAAAUCAAUACUGAUGUGUUCCACUCAGAAUGAAUAAGAUAAUUUGGUGCCACAAAAAUGAGCCACCUUCCAAAAAACAACCUUGGCUUCUGAUGCCACAACAUUGAAUUACUCCCUGUAAACCUUCUCUACGCAAGGUCCUAAAUCAGAUGGAGGGCAGGCACUGUCAUAGUCGUGGUCAAAUUUGGUACACAACUGCUGCUAGUUAAACCACAGAUCAGACGAACUUCCAGCUUGGAGUAACAUAAUCAAUAAACACCCAUGGCUAGACUCUGGAUGUUCCAAGUUUUCGUUCGAAUAAUCGUCUCAGAAGGUAAACUUGAAGGGUGCUAGCCCCAAUAAGUGCAGCUGAUUCAAGCAUUGCCUUGUGAAUUGCUCGACGACCCAUGCUAUCAUUCACUGCAGUCAAAUUAUAGCAAAAGCAAAAUGAAUUUUGCUUGUCUAUUCCAUGGGACAAGUUAAAGUUAACAGCUAAAGCUAUAUGACCAUGUGUAAAAGGACAAAAAGAAGAGCAAAAAGAAAAAUGGCAACGGACAAUUUUUGUACCAUAAUUGUCAACUAAACCAAGCCUAGUAUUCAUGGCAGCAGAACUCAGCCCCCUUUCUAACAGGACAAGAUUUUGACUGACAAGAAGUGGAACGGAUCCAAAUAUCUUUAAAAUAGGGAUAGAUACGCUAGGAAUUGGNUGAUACGAUUAAUAUGAUUAAAACAAUUAAACUAAAAUAUGUAUAAUUAAAAUAUAAUUCUAUUAUUUAGAUUUAAAACUAAUAAUUAUAAAAAAAUUAUAAUAAAAUAAAAAUAAUAAUAACAUCAAAUAAUCACUAAAAGUUAAAAAUUAAGAUUGAGCAUGUAUAAUUACAUUAUAUUUUUUAUAAAAUUAAAAAAAAUUAAAAUAAUUAUUUAAAAUUAUUUAUAUAAUAUUAAAAUAAUUUUUAACUAUUAAUUUUUAAUAGGUUAAUAAAUAUGUCACGUAUACACGUUUAAACACGAUAAUACGAUUAAACACGAUAAUAUGAUUAAACAAGAUAACAUGAUUAAGUAAAUGUGUUUAAAUAUGUUUAUCAUGUCAGAUACUAUUAGACACGAAACACGUUAACUUUAAACUUAAAACUUGUUUAACCCUUAUCUACUCGUAUCGUGUUAACACAUCGUGUUUAAAAUUGUUAAGAUCUAAGCAUAACUAUUACCGCUUUUUGACAGGAAGCAUUUAGAGCAAGGCUUUCAAGGAUUCGCAGUGGCAAGAAGUACAAAAUAUUGAAAGAGAGCAAAAACAGUUCUUCUAAGCUACCUAUUGCCUGUCGGUCAGUCUGAGCCUCUAUCCAGUGCUGUUCGAAUUGGAUGUUGUAAAGAGCUUCCUCCAACUUUGAUAUCUGCUCAAGCAAGGGGGCAAUAUGCUCUGCAGACAUCAUUCAACAGGAAGCAAUCAUUUUUCCUCUUUUAAGGGGUUAUAGACGGGGAUAAAAGGAAGCAAGGGAACAUGUUACUCACCAUCCUUUGCAUGCUGCUCCUGGUUUGCAAAAUGCGCAAGCUUUACAUCAAAGUCAAUGAUUUCUGACCAAAGCGCAGCAAGGAAAUCAAACAGCACAACUUAAUUGAAAACCCGCAGCAUGUCUGAUUGGAGUUGAACUCCCUCUUUUGAGAGACUGUCAGCCCUCUGGUUUGCCUCGCGUUUGAUGUGAUGAAUCUCCUAAUCUCCUAGUUUCUCUUUCAUCCUCUCAAUCUGUAUCAAUCAUUUACGCAUCCUCCAAGGCGCACUAAGCGGUGACCAAAUCCAUUUUACCACAUUACUCGAAUCACUUUCAAUAACAAGUUUGUGACCAUCAUUCGACCUUGAAACCGCGAAUAUCAUCAUCGCUUCCUUCACUGCUCUAACCUCUGCCAAGUUUAAAUCCACAAUGCCAAUGGAUUUUGCAAAGAUAAUCAUCGAUUCUCCUUUAAAAAUAAAUAUUGUUAACUUUUUUUUUAAUUGAAACCUAGAUUCGAAACUUAUUUUUUUAGAUAAAAAUCAUAUACUAAUUAACAAGUCAAAUAUAUGAAUACAUAAUUAUGUGUUAACUUGUUUUAAUUUGUUCCUGAUAAUGAUCUCAAGCUAUACAAUGAGAGAUAAUUUUUUUUCUUGUUUCGUAAAUUUCAAUCAUUUGUCGACACAUUUCCAACAUUACCACUCCUAUGAUAUAAUACAAGUCAAAAACAAAGGUGAUCAAACCUGUUGGGUUGAGGACCAAGCUUUAAUGCACCAUUGGGCACUCAUGGUGGAGUUCAUAAAUCAUACAUUUUGAUCAAUCAAUGCCUGUAUAUGCAAGCAACAUUACAAGCAACAUUUGCAGAUAAUGUAAGUAACUGAAAAAGAGUUGCUUCUUUGUAGGGAUUCAUGUCUGAACAUUACAUUGUUGCAUUGAACGUGACAGAAUUUCUGUAACUUGCCCAGCCUCAGUUGAAUUCCUAAGGUUUGAGUUUACAGCAGAACUCCACCAGUCAUAAACUAUCUCUGUUCAACCCCAAAACCAAGAACAGGCCGCAUGAAGGAAACCUUUAUUUAAAAAUGUUUUGCAAUCCAUCGAAGAUCCUUAAAGCUCUCAGUUCACCACUCCUCAUAUCCCUCAAUCUCUUCCUCAGUAUCUGGAACCGUUCACAUAAGCAGAAUGAAGCAGAAGCAUCAGGCCAGGAAGCAAGAUAUAAAUUAUUUAGCAGCAGUAUAUGCUCCUAACUUCAUGGUCUAAAUUCCUUAUUUUCAUGAAACAAUAUGCCCAGUACCUAGAACAUGCAACAUCUAAUAUUUUGCACUGAUGAAUCCUUGGCAUACUCAAGACCUUAAUUCAGUGAACAUAAGUGGUGGGAUUUGGUAGACAGAAUAUGAAGUACUUCAAUUCUCAAGCAACCAAAAAUGAGUACUUCACUCGAUAACAAGGGAAAAACACUGCCUAAGCAGAUUACUAACUCAAAACUCAGCAUCCAAUCGAGGGAGCUCAAACAACAGAUUAUAAGUGAUAUGUUAUGAAACAAGCAUCAACAGAGAUGCGCUAAACAACUUAAAAAGAAAUUUGAAAAAUCAAACGAGGUUUAGUCUUACAUUUUGAGCACGAAAUAGUAUUCUCUGCUCACUUGUACAUAAAUCUACUGCUAGCUGUUUCAUAAACACUCUUCGGUUUAGUUGUUUUGGAGAUGUCACAUCCAAAUCUAUGGAGCCACUUGCCUAUAAAAGAAAUUACCAAGAAUUGCACACUGAAUAUGAGCUAUUUAAGACGAGCCCUAUCUAUAUCAAAUCAACCCUUUUUCAUUUUUAUGGUAACUUCAAUCUAAGUAAAGUUUUCCAAGUCCUGAAAAAAGAUAUUUCUCUCACCUGCAAGAAUUUGGAGUAUUUUGAUAUGCUUGACUCGCAACUGUCUAGAAUAAAUUGCCGUGCUUUUUCUUCAAUUUCAGGGUAUCUUAAGUCCUUCUUGGCAAUAGAUUUAUUUGAUGCUGCAGCAGCCAUCUGGAGAAGCAACCAUUAGGAGUUCAAUAAUCAAAAUUUAUUCCAUGAUUUAGUGGAUAGAGUUCUCAAACCUCUUCAAACUGCCUGCUCAUGCUUGGAGGGCUGACUGCCAGGUAAGCAUAUGCCAUUAACUCCAGUGGCCAACCAGUGAUUUGUAUUGGAUAACACUGAGAACUGCCAGAAAGGUUCACAGAUUUGAUAUGAGAAAUUAAAAUGUAAAAAAACUAAAUAUAGAUAACAGAGGAAGCACAAAUCAUAAAUAUAGAUAACACAUUUAACUCCCUAAUGAAUCAACCCCAAAAAUCUAGGACUACUAAAACAAGAUUAAAUUAAAAAAUGAGUAAAAAACAUUUAUCCAGCUUACGCAGACAAUCCAUGCUUCCUUAAAGCUUCCAACUUCUCCUUAUAACAUUUGUCAGAUUUUUUAAGCGAUAGAGGGAGCUCUACUGAAUCACUAGGAUUUGUGCCCUCUUUUGGAGCAAAUCCAUAAGAUAACAACAGCUCUCCAUUAGAUUUUUUGCCAUAUGAUAUGAAAACCUGCAUAAAAUGAUGGAAGCCGACAUUUCAAACUUUGCCAACUAACAUGAUAUUAGUGGUCCAAACUCCAAACUCUGAGGUUGUUCAUGCUUACAACAGAUUAGCACGUCUAUGAUCAUUAAGAAACUGAUUGAUAAUAUGUUACUUUAAAGGGUCAAUCCUAGCUUCAAAAUGUAUCAACCAAAUAUGGUGUUCAACGGUGAGAACAAAAUUUAUAAGUAUCUUAAUAUACGGGAAUGCAUGUAAGGAUACAUAUAUAGUGUGCGUGUGUGCAGGCACUCAUGCACGAGUGCAAAGAAGUGGCUGCAUGCUCUCAUGCAUACAGGUAGUAAGAAAAAGAACACAAUGUUUCCACCUCCCGUUUAAAAAAUUAAUUGCAAAUUCCCUUGAAUAGAUCUCAUGAAGCUUCCAAAUCUGAAAUACUUUAGCAACCGGCUUUUUUGGAAGAAGUAGUAAUCUUUGAAACAAAAUCAUUAAUGACAACCAAAUAAUAAUAUAAGUUAUAUAUAUGAUGUACAUUUUGUGAAAGAAGAAGUAAUUGUUUAAAGAAAAUCAUUAAUGACGACCAAAUAAUAAUUUAAGUUCUAUGUAUGAUGUACAUUGCUCUCCCUUCACAUACAUAGUCAUAUAAGAAAAGUAAACAAAAAAUCUUUCAGCAACAACUUUAUUAUUGCUCUAAUCUUCUAUGAUCCCUAUGAUCAAAUAAAAUAUAUGUCAAAAUCUCAUUUACCUGCUCACCUGGCUGAUAAGCCCGAUCUGUUGUAAAGACAACCCCCUGUGAUCAUUUGUCAUAAUCCAAAAAUGUUUCCACCUUAACCAAAAAAAGACAAGCGAAGGUACUAAUUAGAUUAAUUAUAUAUCUUGUAUGCAUCCUUUAUAAAGAAAGACUUCUCUAUAUCUCACAGCUAUGGUUGAGCAUAUCUGCCCAAGGAACAAGGCAACCUUUUCAUCCAUUGAAGGUAGCCUCACCUGUUUUUAACAGCAAAAUGAAAGUUUUAACUUUUCCAUUCUUAUAAAUCAACUAUCCUCUCCUGCACUUUGUGUUAAACCUCUAAAUUAAGCCCCAAUUACAGAACAUUUACAAUGCAAAAUUGUAUGUAAUAAAGUCACAAAGUUAGUGGUAUCAAAGGAGACUUGAGAAGUACAGCAUCAUUUACCUCUUUAGUUAAAUUUUAAGGCAGAGAUAUAUAAUUUCAAAUAAUUUAUUCUACAUAAAAAUUCGAAGCCGUUUAACAUUGCUACUGGCAUACGUAAACAUUUUCCAGGUGACCUGGUCAAGGAUUUAAAAGUUGAGAAUUUUAAGAAAAACACAAAAACAUAAAAUUAAGAACUUUCUCACUUUGACAACUGACUUAAUUUCCAGGCAGAAUUGUGGGAUCAAUUUGACUUAAUUUCUAUAUAUAUAUAUAUAUAUAUUAUAUAUUUUNUAUUUCAAUGUUGUGAAAUGCAGCAGAAAAAUGGUUUUGCUGUAUACAAGCUGCUCAUGCAGACUAAAGAGGUGGCUCUUACAGCGUAAGAGCUUCCAAAAGAAAGCAUUAAUUAUCUACACCACGGCCAUGCCCGUUAGCAAUGAUCCAGAAGACUGGAGCUGUAUGAGAAGCUAUGAUAGGUCCUGGUGGAAUGUGUUAGUUGCCAGUUUGAGCAAUGGCCAUGGGGUGGGCGUGGGACGAGAGAAGAAUGUAGUUUUAUGUUUAUGUGCACUGCUUGGUUGUUACUUGCAUAAUUUUUGCUCCCUUGUUUAUUCAAAUAUGUUAUGUUAUGGGUUGACACUAUUGUUUGUGACAUUUGUAAUGUAAUCUGUAUUAAUUUUUUGGGUGGACCUGAUUUUCUUGUGUACCUUCAUAUAUCUAAUACUAAAUCAAACUCUCCCUUUUCUCAAA
rnacentral:lncRNA from 1 species